AGGACGAACGCUGGCGGCGUGCUUAACACAUGCAAGUCGAACGGAAAGGCCUGCAGCUUGCUGCGGGUACUCGAGUGGCGAACGGGUGAGUAACACGUGGGUGAUCUGCCUUGCACUUCGGGAUAAGCUUGGGGAACUGGGUCUAAUACCGGAUAGGACAGCUGUUUAGUGUCAGUUGUGGAAAGUUUUUUCGGUGCAAGAUGAGCUCGCGGCCUAUCAGCUUGUUGGUGGGGUAAUGGCCUACCAAGGCGUCGACGGGUAGCCGGCCUGAGAGGGUGUACGGCCACAUUGGGACUGAGAUACGGCCCAGACUCCUACGGGAGGCAGCAGUGGGGAAUAUUGCACAAUGGGCGGAAGCCUGAUGCAGCGACGCCGCGUGGGGGAUGAAGGCCUUCGGGUUGUAAACUCCUUUCGACAGGGACGAAGCGUAAGUGACGGUACCUGUAUAAGAAGCACCGGCUAACUACGUGCCAGCAGCCGCGGUAAUACGUAGGGUGCGAGCGUUGUCCGGAAUUACUGGGCGUAAAGAGCUCGUAGGUGGUUUGUCGCGUCGUCUGUGAAAUUCCGGGGCUUAACUCCGGGCGUGCAGGCGAUACGGGCUGACUUGAGUGCUGUAGGGGAGACUGGAAUUCCUGGUGUAGCGGUGAAAUGCGCAGAUAUCAGGAGGAACACCGAUGGCGAAGGCAGGUCUCUGGGCAGUAACUGACGCUGAGGAGCGAAAGCAUGGGUAGCGAACAGGAUUAGAUACCCUGGUAGUCCAUGCCGUAAACGGUGGGCGCUAGGUGUAGGGGGCUUCCACGUCUUCUGUGCCGUAGCUAACGCAUUAAGCGCCCCGCCUGGGGAGUACGGGCGCAAGGCUAU
rnacentral:rRNA from 1 species